AUUGAACGCUGGCGGCAGGCCUAACACAUGCAAGUCGAGCGAGCGGCGGACGGGUGAGUAAUGCCUAGGAAUCUGCCUGGUCGUGGGGGAUAACGUCCGGAAACGGGAGCUAAUACGACAAACCGGCAGCGGAACCAAGGUGGGAUUGGCUUGUAGGGGGGGUAAGGGCUCACCUAGGCGACGAUCCCUAGCGGGUCUGAGAGGAUGAUAAGCCACACUGGGACUGAGACACGGCCCAGACUCCUACGGGAGGCAGCAGUGGGGAAUAUUGCACAAUGGGCGCAAGCCUGAUGCAGCCAUGCCGCGUGUAUUAAGAAGGCCUUCGGGUUGUAAAGUACUUUCAGUCGGGAGGCGUUACCGACAGAAGAAGCACCGGCUAACUCCGUGCCAGCAGCCGCGGUAAUAC
rnacentral:rRNA from 1 species